GACGAACGCUGGCGGCGUGCUUAACACAUGCAAGUCGAACGGAAAGGCCCUGCUUUUGUGGGUUUCUCGAGUGGCGAACGGGUGUGUAACACGUGAGUAACCUGCCCUUGACUUUGGGAUAACUUCAGGAAACUGGGGCUAAUACCGGAUAUGAGCUCCUGCUGCAUGGUGGGGGUUGGAAAGUUUCGGCGGUUGGGGAUGGACUCGCGGCUUAUCAGCUUGUUGGUGGGGUAGUGGCUUACCAAGGCUUUGACGGGUAGCCGGCCUGAGAGGGUGACCGGCCACAUUGGGACUGGGAUAAGGCACAGACUACUACGGGAGGCAGAAGUGGAGAAGAUUGCAAAAUGGGCGGAAGCAUGAUGCAGCAACGCCGCGUGCGGGAUGACGGCCUUCGGGUUGUAAACCGAUUUCGCCUGUGACGAAGCGUGAGUGACGGUAAUGGGUAAAGAAGCACCGGCUAACUACGUG
rnacentral:rRNA from 1 species